GGAUUAGAUACCCUGGUAGUCCACGCCGUAAACGAUGUCAACUAGCCGUUGGAGUCUUGAGACUUCGGUGGCGCAGCUAACGCGUGAAGUUGACCGCCUGGGGACUACGGCCGCAAGGCUAAAACUCAAAUGAAUUGACGGGGGCCCGCACAAGCGGUGGAGCAUGUGGUUUAAUUCGAUGCAACGCGAAGAACCUUACCACCCCUUGACAUACAGAGAACUUUCCAGAGAUGGAUUGGUGCCUUCGGGAACUCUGAUACAGGUGCUGCAUGGCUGUCGUCAGCUCGUGCCG
rnacentral:rRNA from 1 species